rnacentral:misc_RNA from 1 species
CAGUGAAAUGUUGACUUCGUAAACGAAGUCAACGUGAAAUAUUUGACUGCGUCAAAUGUGAAAUAUUGAACGAUCGAAACCGCGG